rnacentral:rRNA from 1 species
AACGAACGCUGGCGGCAGGCUUAACACAUGCAAGUCGAGCGCAUCCUUCGGGGUGAGCGGCGGACGGGUGAGUAACGCGUGGGAACGUGCCCUCUUCUACGGAAUAGCCCAGGGAAACUUGGAUUAAUGCCGUAUACGCCCGAACGGGGAAAGAUUUAUCGGAGGAGGAUCGGCCCGCGUUGGAUUAGGUAGUUGGUGGGGUAAUGGCCUACCAAGCCGACGAUCCAUAGCUGGUUUGAGAGGAUGAUCGGCCACACUGGGACUGAGACACGGCCCAGACUCCUACGGGAGGCAGCAGUGGGGAAUCUUGGACAAUGGGGGAAACCCUGAUCCAGCCAUGCCGCGUGAUCGAUGAAGGCCCUAGGGUUGUAAAGAUCUUUCAGCUGGGAAGAUAAUGACGGUACCAGCAGAAGAAGCCCCGGCUAACUCCGUGCCAGCCGCCGCAGUAAGAC